CCACACAUCUGCUGAAGAAAUAUUUUAAUCACUUGUUUUCCUGACAAUUAAUGAAAACGACAGGAUUUUGUUUUUUUCCUUUGUAAAAACAAAACCUAGUACCACAGAAAAACCUCCCUGCUAACCGAGCAAGGAGAAUUUUGAGUCCAGUAAUAUGCAUUGCUCAUACUGGAGUCUGCAUCUCUAAGACCCUCUGCUGCUCCUGGAGGCAGCUUUUAACUGCAAGCUUCAGUGUGGCGUGGCUCAGAGACAGCCGACAUCAUCGCUGAGCGCCCUGCUUUCUGCAGCAUCCAAGCAGCCUAUUCACACCACCAUUGAGCGGUGGCAGGGCUUGCAGGAAGCCAAGGCUAGCUAUGAAGUUUGGAAAAGGUUUCAAACACUGAAGGCAACUGUAAAGCACUGGGUUCCCAGAUGGUGGUUCUUAUCUAUGGCAAAUUUUUUUUGUCCUACUGAAAAGGGCUGUUUAGAGAAUAAAGCACCAUGUAAUUUCCAGCAGUGACAAUUUAUGACUUUAAAAAAAAAAAGGAUUCCCUCAUUUUCAUAUUUACAUAUUUAAUUUUUGCACUUGCAUGUACAUUUCUGUUAUCUCCCAUCCACAUGUUGCUAUUUGUCUCUGUAGUGAAGGAAGUUUUAUUUCCUGUGUGCAACAUGAAGCCUGACUUGCAUGUAAAAAGAUCCAAUGAAAAAUCAUCCCUUACUGAAAUAAAGUGAGCUGGCAUGCCGUA